rnacentral:rRNA from 1 species
GACAGAGGAUCCAAGCGUUUAUCCGGAAUCAUUGGGUUUAAAGGGUCCGUAGGCGGUUUUGUAAGUCAGUGGUGAAAGCCCAUCGCUCAACGGUGGAACGGCCAUUGAUACUGCAAGACUUGAAUUAUUAGGAAGUAACUAGAAUAUGUAGUGUAGCGGUGAAAUGCUUAGAGAUUACAUGGAAUACCAAUUGCGAAGGCAGGUUACUACUAAUGGAUUGACGCUGAUGGACGAAAAGCGUGGGGAGCGAACAGG